rnacentral:tRNA from 1 species
UGAUCAAUAUUUAAUUCAUAAUAUUUAGUUUGCAUCUAACCAUAAUUAGUAUCCCUAAUUUGAUCCG